CCGCCACCUUGUGGCAGGGGCCGGCAGGGACGCGCUGGGACGCAUCCUCUUCACCGACCCACACAAAUACAAGGACGCCAUAUACAAGAGGUGGACACAGCGGGAAAAGAAGAAAAAAGAACUUCAACAUUAGCGGAACAAAGAACGAGAAGAAGAGAUGGAGGACAGCGGGGAGAUGAAGGAAUUUGAGUAGCGGGCGGUCCGAGUGGCCCACAGCACCCACACCACCUCCGUACUCCACCACCCGCUUGUCAGGAAAUUCACCAACCACAUCAUGAAAACAGGAAACAAACCUCUGGCCAGGGAACUUGUCGAGAAGGUCAAAGGUCACAACUAGCCAGCCGGGAGUGGGUCAGGAUGGCACGGCUGGCUGUGGUGGUGGUGGUGGUGGUAUUGGUGUUGGCGGCAGCAGCGGCGGGAAGGCCAGACUACACGCUGUCCCAAAAAUUUAUUGAAAUGUUGCAGAGUGAACAGUCCGCUUGGAAGAUUGUGUUAAGAUGUGGAGAAACAGAC
rnacentral:misc_RNA from 1 species